UCCAGAUGGCAAAGCUUCUGGACAUUACGAAUGGACAUCACUGCAGGGGAACGACACCAAGAAGUUUCUGGAACGUCUCCCAGUGAGGUUUGCUGACCUACUGAAGGAAGAAAUUCAAGCUAAAAUGGCCCAACUUUGGACAGAAUUUCUCUCUUUGUAUAAGAUGGUUUCUAGCUGGACUCCACCUCCCAGUGAAGUGGUUGAGCAAAAGGCGAAAGACUGGAUAAGGCUUUUCUUGAGCUUGAAGCACAAGUGUCAAGGGUUUCAGGAAAAGAAUAUUACGCCCUAUAUGCACACACUGGUCUUUCAUUUCCCUUACUUUAUUUCAAAAUACGGAAAUGUCAAGAUGUUUAGUGGACAAGGUGAGUUCGAGUGUAAAGAAAUAACAUUUUAAUCACCUUUU